GACGAGCGCUGGCGGCGUGCCUAAUACAUGCAAGUUGAGCGCUGAAGGUUGGUACUUGUACCAACUGGAUGAGCAGCGAACGGGUGAGUAACGCGUGGGGAAUCUGCCUUUGAGCGGGGGACAACAUUUGGAAACGAAUGCUAAUACCGCAUAAAAACUUUAAACACAAGUUUUAAGUUUGAAAGAUGCAAUUGCAUCACUCAAAGAUGAUCCCGCGUUGUAUUAGCUAGUUGGUGAGGUAAAGGCUCACCAAGGCGAUGAUACAUAGCCGACCUGAGAGGGUGAUCGGCCACAUUGGGACUGAGACACGGCCCAAACUCCUACGGGAGGCAGCAGUAGGGAAUCUUCGGCAAUAGACGAAAGUCUGACCGAGCAACGCCGCGUGAGUGAAGAAGGUUUUCGGAUCGUAAAACUCUGUUGGUAGAGAAGAACGUUGGUGAGAGUGGAAAGCUCAUCAAGUGACGGUAACUACCCAGAAAGGGACGGCUAACUACGUG
rnacentral:rRNA from 1 species